rnacentral:misc_RNA from 1 species
GCAGCACAGCUAAAAUGUCGUGAUGAUCCCAUGUCCAUUGAAGCAACCAUCACUUCCCUGAAGCCUGUACUCAACUGGAUGUGUCAUUUUGGGAGGCAACAGUAUGUUGACAUCGGCAAUGUGAGGACCAGUCGCCGGAAAAGGAGAAGUCAGUGGCAGAAGCAGAAGAAGGAGAAGCAGGGAGAGACAGUGCAACAUUUUCAGGUGAAAAAUGAAAACUAAGCAAGACCAUCAGAUUGGAAGUGAAGAGCAAGUAUGAGAGUUGAGGGUGAUUGAAGCGGGAAAAUUUGGAGAGUAACUGAUUAGGGUUUUGCAGAGAGUUUUGGAGGAAGCCAGUGAGG